UGUUAUUAUUUUUACUCGUCACCAUAUUCGACGUACCUACUAUUUUGUAUUAUUUUGUCGUCUCCGAUGUACAUUACUAUUCGAUUUAUCGCAUGUGAUCGUGCUUAUUUACUAAUCCUAGUUUUAAGCUAUUUUAUUGCAAAACACUCAAAUGGUUUUGUGCAUUGUUAUGUAUAUAUAAACCAUGUGUUGUCACUGGUCACCUAAUACUCAUCGUUUAAGUUAAUUAGUCAGAUUUAAACCACCUAAAAUAUACAGUCCACUCUCCCUCCUUAAUAAAUUUAAAUAAAAUUUUUUGCUUUCGUAAUACAGUCUAAUAUUAAAAUGUAUGUGUAUACAAUCAAAGAUUAAAUACAUUGGUACUGGUUUGUUAUAGCCCCGCCACUCACGUUUGUUAUCGCCCCGCCGUUCAUAUAACAAUAAAUACAUCGCAUAUAAAUAUAUUAAAAAAUUGAAUAAUAAUUAAUAUAAAACAGUGAUAUAAUUAAAAAUGUUUAUGCUUUAUGCCAGCGGUUCUAAAACUUGUAUGACCACGGAACCCUUGACAAAUAAUUUGUGUUUUGCGGGACCCCCUUCUUUAAAUAAUUUAAAAGAAUAAUUAUUAAUAUAUAUUAUAUAUAUAUUUAACUUACUACAUUUUUUUAGAUAGCAGUAAAGCAGAUCAUUGGCGUUCAUACCAUUUGUGGAAAUUAACAAGAUUCUAUGUUAAAAAUAACAAGAAAAUACGGAUAAUAAUAAUCGAUUUAUGCAAUCUACGUGAAAUGCUGAAUGAAUAUAGCAGUAAAGCAGUUCAUUGGCGUUCAUACCACUUGGAGAAAUUAACAAGAUUCUAUGUUAAAAAUAACAACAAGAUACAGAUAAUACUAAUCGAUUUAUGCAAUAUAGCAGUAUAGCAGUUUAUUGGCGUUCGUACCACUUGGAGAAAUUAACAAGAUUUUAUGUUAAAAAUAACAACAAGAUACAGAUAAUACUAAUCGAUUUAUGCAAUGUA